rnacentral:tRNA from 1 species
ACAAUGCUGGUUCAGUGGUAGAAUUCUGCCUGCUUCCAUGCAGUAGACCUUGGUUCAAUUCCCAGCCAAUGUA